AAUGCCCUAGGAACAUAAGGAAGAAGUGGCGCUAGGCACAAGAGUUUGAGAAGGCAGUGCUGUGGGAGGUGGCCUGAGCUAAGUCCCAUGAAAAGGGUCCUAGGGGCAGAGGGUUGGCAGGGGCCUCAGCAGAGCUGGACACAGUGGGAGAAAGAACACUGGAGACAGGGUCACCCUUGCUCUUGUGUGGGUCAAAUCCUUCUAUCUUGAUUUACUCACCUAAACUGCUACGUCUUCUGCAGACUGGGGAAGAACACACUGUGACACAUCUCCAGUAUGUCGCAUGGCCUGAUCACGGUGUGCCAGAUGACUCUUCAGACUUUCUGGAAUUUGUGAACUAUGUGAGGUCCCUGAGGGUGGACGGGGAGCACGUCUUAGUUCACUGCAGCGCUGGAAUAGGCCGAACGGGUGUGUUGGUCACUAUGGAAACAGCCAUGUGCUUAAUUGAGAGAAACCUGCCCGUUUACCCACUGGAUAUCGUUCGGAAAAUGCGAGGCCAGCGCGCCAUGAUGGUGCAGACAUCAAGCCAGUACAAGUUUGUGUGCGAAGCGAUCCUUCGUGUGUAUGAAGAAGGCUUAGUCCAGAGGCUGGAUCCCAGUUAGGACAACUGUGAAGUGUUCAUUCCUCCUUCCCCAGGGGGACAGGCCUUCCUCCAGAGGCCCCAAGAGGAACGGGUCGUUGUGGGCAGGGGAUGAGCACAUGUGAACCCGGCACUUUAAAUUUCUGAGGAAGAGGCAUCCUGGACACGGGAGCUGGUGUAGAUAUGCAUGCCGCUGUGGCUUCCUUUAGACUGGAGAGAAAUAGCAAAAGGGGAUCUCGGUUUGGGGUCUGUCCAAAUGCCUUCCUCCCUAGGCAUCUCUGUGCCCUGUGGGCCUCCUUGGGCAACCAGAGAGGGCACCAGCAGUGCUGUUGAUCCCCUGACAGUGGCCAGUGGGUUUCCUAGGGUUGCUUAGGUGUUUCGUGUGUUGUGUGUAGGCCUCUGGGCUGAGUUUCCCGUGCCUCUAGGCAGGACUGGAGCAGUUAGCGGUCACUGCUUACCCCCGACACCAGGAACCCUGGUGAAUGUACAUGUGCAGGACACAGGGACCUCGGAUGAGGGACAAGCAGUGCAUUUUCUGCCCUCCCUUUUGCCUCUCUCAUCUCUCACCCCUCCCCAGAUUCCUGAGAGUCACGUCCAAAACGUGCCUGCUUUCCCCCUGCGUUUCUCCUUCAGGUUCACACCUGUGCCUGAACCAUGUGAGUAAUGUGUGUUCAGGUGAAGGUCGAGCCGGGGCGCCGAGAACUAGCAUAGAAGCAGGCGCGUCUCUCGCCUCUGCUUGCUGUCACUGUGUCCUCUGUCCCUGGACCAGAGGCGCUGACUACUGAGUCUACUACGUGGAUUGCUGCUACUUCAUGCUCUCGCACUAAAACGAGGCAAUGUCCUGGUGGGGGGCGGGGGGUAUGUUAAUAUCUAAAUGUUCAGACUCUUCGGCCCUUCUGAGAAAGACUUUGACAAAUGACCAUGGGAAACCCUGCUUCUCGAGGGUGCCCCGUGGGGGGUGUGCAUGUGUGUGCCCGCACCCCUGAGGGCCAGUGUUCUCAGGAUUCCUAACUUGAUUCACAUCACCGUUGAGUUUAUGUAAAGAAUGAAUCUCAGUAGAGAAGAACAAACGUGUGCAUUCACCCUAGCCACAGUGGUCUCCGUUUCAUUUCAAAGGAGAGGACUAUCUGAAUAGAAACACAAUUUGGUGUUAAUUUGUUCUAAGUACCCUAGGAUUUUGAUUGUCCUAAAGAAUUCUGCCUUUGUGAACACCGUUGUUAAAUUUUUUUUAAUCUGUGACAGGAUUGUAGCAAAUUAUUAUUUAAAGAAAAUAAAUUGCAUAAGCGUUUUAAUGUGGUAUUUUUAAAUAGCGAGUUUUUUUGUG